AUUGAACGCUGGCGGCAGGCUUAACAUAUGCAAGUCGAGCGGGGUGAUGGUGCUUGCACUAUCACUUAGCGGCGGACGGGUGAGUAAUGCUUAGGAAUCUGCCUAUUAGUGGGGGACAACAUCCCGAAAGGGAUGCUAAUACCGCAUACGUCCUACGGGAGAAAGCAGGGGAUCACUUGUGACCUUGCGCUAAUAGAUGAGCCUAAGUCGGAUUAGCUAGUUGGUGGGGUAAAGGCCUACCAAGGCGACGAUCUGUAGCGGGUCUGAGAGGACGAUCCGCCACACUGGGACUGAGACACGGCCCAGACUCCUACGGGAGGCAGCAGUGGGGAAUAUUGGACAAUGGGGGGAACCCUGAUCCAGCCAUGCCGCGUGUGUGAAGAAGGCCUUAUGGUUGUAAAGCACUUUAAGCGAGGAGGGGGCUCUUUUGGUUAAUACCCAAGAUGAGUGGACGUUACUCGCAGAAUAAGCACCGGCUAACUCUGUGCCAGCCGCCGCGGUAA
rnacentral:rRNA from 1 species